GACGAACGCUGGCGGCGUGCCUAAUACAUGCAAGUCGAGCGGACGGAUGGGAGCUUGCUCCCAGACCGUCAGCGACGGACGGGUGAGUAACACGUGGGCAACCUGCCUGUAAGACUGGGAUAACUCCGGGAAACCGGGGCUAAUACCGGAUAACUCUUUCCCUCACCUGAGGGAAAGCUGAAAGAUGGCAUCUCGCUAUCACUUACAGAUGGGCCCGCGGCGCAUUAGCUAGUUGGUGAGGUAACGGCUCACCAAGGCGACGAUGCGUAGCCGACCUGAGAGGGUGAUCGGCCACACUGGAACUGAGACACGGCCCAGACUCCUACGGGAGGCAGCAGUAGGGAAUCUUCCGCAAUGGGCGAAAGUCUGACGGAGCAACGCCGCGUGAGUGAUGAAGGUUUUCGGAUCGUAAAACUCUGUUGUCAGGGAAGAACAAGUACCGGAGUAACUGCCGGUACCUUGACGGUACCUGAACAGAAAGCCACGGCUAACUACGUG
rnacentral:rRNA from 1 species